AUUGAACGCUGGCGGCAUGCCUUACACAUGCAAGUCGAACGGCAGCAUGGAGAGCUUGCUCUCUGAUGGCGAGUGGCGAACGGGUGAGUAAUGCAUCGGAACGUACCGUGUAAUGGGGGAUAACGUAGCGAAAGUUACGCUAAUACCGCAUACGACCUGAGGGUGAAAGCAGGGGAUCGCAAGACCUUGCGUUAUACGAGCGGCCGGUGUCAGAUUAGCUAGUUGGUGAGGUAAAGGCUCACCAAGGCGACGAUCUGUAGCGGGUCUGAGAGGAUGAUCAGCCACACUGGGACUGAGACACGGCCCAGACUCCUAAGGGAGGCAGCAGUGGGGAAUUUUGGACAAUGGGGGCAACCCUGAUCCAGCCAGGCCGCGUGAGUGAAGAAGGCCUUCGGGUUGUAAAGCUCUUUCGGCCGGGAAGAAAUCGCACAGGCUAAUACUCUGUGUGGAUGACGGUACCGGCAUAAGAAGCACCGGCUAACUACGUGCCAGCCGCCGCCAUAA
rnacentral:rRNA from 1 species